rnacentral:rRNA from 1 species
UACGUAGGGGGCGAGCGUUGUCCGAAGUUACUGGGCGUAAAGAGUACGUAGGUGGCUUGUUAAGAUACAUCUGAAAGGUGACAGCUCAACUGUCAAUGGUGGUGUAAGACUGGCAGGCUUGAGGCAAGCAGAAGAGUGUGGAACUCCGAGUGUAGCGGUGGAAUGCGUAGAGAUUCGGAAGAACCCCCAUGGCGAAGGCAGCACUCUGGGCUUGAGCCGCAAGGUUAACCUGACACUGAGGUACGAAAGCCAGGGGAGCGAACGGG